AGUGAACGCUGGCGGCGUGCUUAACACAUGCAAGUCGAACGAGAACGGAAUAUAGCUUGCUAUAUUUGUCAGCUAAGUGGCGCACGGGUGAGUAAUGUAUAGAUAACCUGCCCUUAAGAAAGGAAUAACAGUUGGAAACGACUGCUAAUGCCCUAUAUGCCUUUAAUACAUAAGUAUGCAAGGGAAACGCUUUAGUGCUUAAGGAUGGGUCUGUAUAGUAUCAGCUUGUUGGUGAGGUAAUGGUUCACCACGCCUAUGCGGCCUAACCGGUUUGAAAGGAUGAUCAGUCACACUGGAACUAAGACACCGUCCACACUCCUACGCGAAGCAGCACUCAGGAAUAUUGCACAAUACACGAAAUUCUGAUCCAGCAACGCCACUUAGAAAAUGACACAUUUCAGUUCAUAAACUCCUUUUAUAUAGGAAGAUAAUCACCAUACUAUAUAAAUAAGCACCGCCUAACUCCGUGCCACCACCCGCCGUAA
rnacentral:rRNA from 1 species